UACAGAGGUCUCAAGCGUUGUUCGGAUUCAUUGGGCGUAAAGGGUGCGUAGGUGGCGCUGUAAGUCGGGUGUGAAAUUUCGGAGCUUAACUCCGAAACUGCAUUCGAUACUGCGGUGCUUGAGGACUGGAGAGGAGACUGGAAUUCAUGGUGUAGCAGUGAAAUGCGUAGAGAUCAUGAGGAAGACCAGUGGCGAAGGCGGGUCUCUGGACAGUUCCUGACACUGAGGUACGAAGGCCAGGGGAGCAAACGGG
rnacentral:rRNA from 1 species